rnacentral:rRNA from 1 species
UACGUAGGGGGCAAGCGUUAUCCGGAUUUACUGGGUGUAAAGGGAGCGCAGACGGCAGUGCAAGUCUGGAGUGAAAGCCCGGGGCCCAACCCCGGAACUGCUCUGGAAACUGUGCGGCCAGAGUACUGGAGGGGCAGGCGGAAUUCCUAGUGUAGCGGUGAAAUGCGUAGAUAUUAGGAGGAACACCAGUGGCGAAGGCGGCCUGCUGGACAGUAACUGACGUUGAGGCUCGAAAGCGUGGGGAGCAAACAGG